ACGGAGCCGUAUCAGUGUGAGGCCGGCUAUCAGCCGCCUAACAUCGAGGUCGGGGUUACGCUUGUAUACGUAACACGGCUGCCGCAGGCACCCAUACACACACUUGCGACACCCGUGCACGGAUUCUCGCGGAUUCUCUUGUCGUGGGCUAGGCGAACAGAGGGAUCUGCGAACUGUUCACGCGGGGAAUCCUUUUUGGUCGUCGACGGGUGGGCAGCCUUUCUCCAUGCAGUAUGCGUCAUAAUCGAUAAGGACAGGAGCGGGGCGCGUGUAUAGGAUCGUCUUAAAGGAAACGUCGCGCCCUUCGAGUAUGUCGAAAUGAAUGAAAGUCGCGAGAGAAAGAAGAGCGAGAGAGAGAAAACGAAAGAGAGUGUACGUUUGGACGAGGUGAGUGCGAGCGUGUGAGGGAGAGAAAGGGAGACAGAAGCAAACGUAAGAGGAAUCAUAGGUGUCGAGGUUAAGAGAUAACCGUGACUAAAGGGAAACGGGGUGGGGGGAAAAGGAAAGACAAGGAGAAAUUCGCGCGCGCGUGUGUCCCUAACAGUAAGAAAAAAAAAAAAUAAAAGAAAUAAAGAAACAAUUGAAGCAGCUCGACACAUUUGACACCGUGGACAUCGUGCUGUUCGAUUCUUCGUAACGAGUCUCUUUUCGUUUGACAGUCGCAGAAAAGGACCAACGGUGCGCCACACGUCGAAACGAACAACCGGUCCUCGGAAGAGUGGAAUGCGGACAACGUAGAGUGAACUGUAGACAGGACAAUUUAGAUAGACAAGCAGACAAAAAGGGGAAGGGAGAGAAACAGAAAGAGAGAAAAGAAGCUGGUGAUAUCACGGGCAAGGAAAUUGCGGAACGUAAACGGGUCACGCGAGCAGACCGUGUCAUCGGUGUCUCGUGCUUCGAGGGGGAAGUAUCGAGAUAUAUUGGCGGUGAGUGCGGUAUCGAGAGUAAUUAAGCAGUCGCGGGAUUACUCGGUAAUAAUGGCUGGUCGCGAUUGAGCGAGAGAGACAGAGGAAGCGUGUGCGCGGCCACUAGUGUAGACUGGCUACAUCUAUCCGAAUAACGCGGACGACGAAGAUAGAAAAGUCAAAGGAGAAAAAAUAGAGAAGGCAAGUGAGAACAGGUACUGAUAGGCUUGGAUAAAAGGGGAGGAAGAGCGGGGUUGAUUGCCGGAAAAGCGGCGGGAUCGCAAUCGAAGAAAAUCAGAUGUCGUUAGGGGCCGUUGCCAGAACCCGGAACGGAUAUAUCGUUAGAAACGGUGUGGCGAUCGAAUAAACGAGGCGAGCAUCAAGAACAAAGUGACAGCUUGUCGCGGUGGUCGUUGUCGUCAGUCAACGUCGAUUCCCUUCCCGCUCCCUACUUGGAGCAGAAGAGUCGAUGGGAUUGCGAGGAACACGGCUGGAUCGAGUCGAAGCGUGUCAGCGAGGAACGGAGGAGUACGACUCGAAGCGGGCAGAUGAUUUUCGAUCGAUUGACGGUCGCACGGCAUCGAGACUAUCGCGCCACCGAGUCUUGUUACGUGUGUAGGUUGCCAUGCCGUCGAAUUGCCGCCGGAGAUGCGCACCGACGUUCAGUGACGAUGACACUUAGCUGAGAUGUGUCAUUUUUGACAGGAUCGACGGGGGAGAACAACGAUCGCCACAUCUGCUUCUUUCAAACGAUGCUUGGAUACAUCGUCGACGGAGGGAGACGAAACGCACGGUGAUCAGUAAUAACGAGAAAGAGGAAGAAAUAAAGAAAAUUGAGAGUAAUAGGGGGGACGAAGAAAGAAAUAGAGAACGUGAGGUGGAUCGAAGAAGAAAAGGAAAGCGAAUAUAGCAGAUCGGUGGAGAAAACGAGAGGAUGGCACCUCGACGCUCGUGCGUGGCCAAGCCGAAUGUGAAGAAUCGCUUUGUAGCGAAGAAACGAGGGGUGCAGCAAGAACGAAACAAGGCGAGGAAGUACGCGACUGCGAUAACUCGUUUUUCGCAACUCGUAGCUGAGUCUCGAUUCUGAGAGGCGCCCCGUCGACGUCGUUUUUAUGUGGCCUCCUCGUCAGAGUGACGACGAGCGAGAGGAUUCGGCACAUUGCCCGUCGGCUGCACGUGCGCAUUGAUGGUCGAUAGUGAAACUCCUUUCAGAGGCAGAUAGACGCGGAAUAAUCCUGUGCUUUCUCUCGUGUCGAAUUUUCGUGUCGAACAGGUGAGAGACGGCCCGCACACACACGGCUGGCGAACGAAUCACGCGCAUUCCGUCCUAGAACGAUUAUUAAUAAAUAUAGAAAAGAAAAAGGAAGAAAAAAAGAGAAGGCAAAAUAAAACUGAAGAGAACAGCGUGUAUGUGGAGCCCUUCGAAAACGAGAAUCGUUCAACGACUAACCAUCGUAUCUCAAGGAGAAUAAUCGGUGACUAGUCGUACCAAUCGUGUGCAGCGUGUUGAGAAUGAUAAAGAAAGAAUAAGAGAAAGAUAGAAGGGCAUGCUGGGUAUACGAGACAGUGUGGUUUCGUUUCUGAGAGAACAACGGCAACAGCAGCUGCACAUGCUACGGUGAUCCGUAUCAAUUCGCGACUGUGAUUUCUAAACUUAAGGUUAUAAACAAAUAUUAAAGAGCAAAAGACGAAGAAGAAGAAAGAGAGACGGGGAGGAAUAAGAAGCGGAGGAAGUAUAUAAAUUAUUAAACACAAGCAAGAUAGAAAAAUAUAAAAAAUCGUCCAUUGUGAUACUAAGAUAUAUUAAACGAGAAUUAGGUGAACACGUGCGCUCAAGGAGAUGGGUGUGAAUGAAAGGGGGCGCGACACAGUGCCAGGCUGAAAUGCGAGUGUAAUUAAUGGAAACGAUGGUCGAUCGUGGGGCAUGCGUCGGAUCUACAAACUGUGAUACACCGAUAACCACACCGAGGAAAGUCUGAUGUUCGAUCACUGACGUCGAAUCGCGUGUACCGACCUAUCCAGAAACAAAGUGGAAUGAAUCGCCGGUUUCGAGUCGUGUUCUCAGCUACCUCGUGAUUCUUUCGCAGUCAGUUCAACCGCGUAACAUCGCAAUAUUACAAGAAGCAGAGGG